rnacentral:tRNA from 1 species
GCCUUCGUGGCGUAGUGGUCAGCACGCUCGAUGCGUAACCGAGAGGUCCGUGGUUCGAUUCCCGGCGAAGGCG